rnacentral:rRNA from 1 species
GACGAACCGUGCGAACGUUAUUCGGAAUCACUGGGCUUAAAGCGCGUGUAGGCGGAUGGGGACGUCGGUCGCUGAAAUCCCCCGGCUCAACCGGGGAACGGGCGCCGAAACGCCCCGUCUCGAGGGACGUAGGGGGACCUGGAACUUCCGGUGGAGCGGUGAAAUGCGUUGAGAUCGGAAGGAACGCCCGUGGCGAAAGCGAGGUCCUGGACGUCUACUGACGCUGAGACGCGAAAGCUAGGGGAGCGAACGGG